GGGGAAGACGAUCGGUGCUAAAUGAUUCUUCAAGAAAUGCAGAAAGCUAUAGGUGCUUACAGGGAAGUGCUAAGGCUUGUGAGGCGACUACCGAAGGACUCGAGGCCUUACUACGCAAAAUACGCCCGAGAAAACUUCGUCAACUACAGAGAAAUCGACUCAAAUGAUCCAAAUGCUCUCCAAGAACUCCUUCAACGAACUUACAAUCAUUCCCUCUGGGUCCUCAAAAAGUAUUCAGUAGACCAAUCUGCGGCGGAUCGCUUGAAAAAUAUUUGCGCUGACUGAUGGUUUGUCUUGUCUACCAAC
rnacentral:misc_RNA from 1 species